rnacentral:rRNA from 1 species
UACGUAGGGUGCAAGCGUUGUCCGGAAUUAUUGGGCGUAAAGAGCUCGUAGGCGGUCUGUCGCGUCUGCUGUGAAAAUCAGGGCUCAACCCUGGACCUGCAGUGGGGUACGGGCAGGCUAGAGUUCGGUAGGGGGAGACUGGAAUUCCUGGUGUAGCGGUGAAAUGCGCAGAUAUCAGGAGGAACACCGAUGGCGAAGGCAGGUCUCUGGGCCGAUACUGACGCUGAGGAGCGAAAGCGUGGGGAGCAAACAGG